AACGAACGCUGGCGGCAUGCCUAACACAUGCAAGUCGAACGAGACCUUCGGGUCUAGUGGCGCACGGGUGCGUAACGUGUGGGAACCUGCCCUUAGGUUCGGAAUAACUCCCCGAAAGGGGUGCUAAUACCGGAUAAUGUCUUCGGACCAAAGAUUUAUCGCCUUUGGAUGGGCCCGCGUUGGAUUAGCUAGUUGGUAGGGUAAAAGCCUACCAAGGCGACGAUCCAUAGCUGGUCUGAGAGGAUGAUCAGCCACACUGGGACUGAGACACGGCCCAGACUCCUACGGGAGGCAGCAGUGGGGAAUAUUGGACAAUGGGCGAAAGCCUGAUCCAGCAAUGCCGCGUGAGUGAUGAAGGCCUUAGGGUUGUAAAGCUCUUUUACCCGGGAUGAUAAUGACAGUACAGGGAGAAUAAGCUCCGGCUAACUCCGUG
rnacentral:rRNA from 1 species